AUGGGGCAUGACCCCAGGGACCGGUCGACCAUGGACAUUUUUACUUCGUAGAUUCUAGCUGGUAUGCAAGGUGAAAUAGUUUCCAUCAGGGAGUCGUAAAAUACAACUUCACCCCCAUCAAAUAAUAGUUGUGUGUGGUUUAGUUAGACUUUAGAAGUGGAUGACUGCCUCAGUGUCAGUGACUGCGAGUAGAUUGCACCUAGACCUGUACAGUGACUGACUGUAUUAGAUAACCAGACCAUGGAAUGUCUUUUGUGUACAUCUAAUCAGGCGUUGCUCACGAUUCGAUGCUCAGCAGCGCUCCCUGACAGUGACAAGGAAGGGCCACAGCAUCCGGGCCGACAGACAACUGACAGCAGCUAGCCUCCUGCUCCUGCUGUGUUCCUCUCUCAACCAAGUCACGGUGUAUAAUCGUGUUCUCAGCUAAAGAUGACAGCCUCAGUGUGACGGUGUGGAGUUGCUGUCAGUGUCUGGUGUCCCGCCUACAUUCUAUGCCUGGGUGGCUGUUCAUGCUCUUAGAUAGGGUUUGCCCUUUGCAUCGCACGCCUGGACCGUAUUGCGUCAGUACAAGACCACACAUUGACAGAACGCACGCUGCCAGCGAAUGAAAUGACGCAGGCAUAUGACCAGGCUUGCGCUGGAUAAGGCAUUCAAAAGUCUCUCUAUCAGUGAAGGUGCUAACUUGACUGAUCCAUUGCUGUUUUCUCGCUCGUACAGUGAGAAAUAGCUACAGAGCCACCACCAUUUGAAAUUUUGAAUUCCGGUGCCGUUUUCACCGGGCCUGAAACGACAGUCGACUCCAUUCAUACACCAAAUUCACACUGUGUAGCAAAUUUCGAGAUUUAUAGCGAACCGUUCUCCAUGUUCCUUUUUGAACCAGUACAAAACUGACCCUUUGCAGCGAACUGUUUUCGUUUACAAUGAGCUCAUAAUAAUUAUUACCUUGAGGAGGAGCCUGUAAACUUCAGAAAAUCAGCUCAAUCACAGUCAUGGCAUUCUCUUUUUCUAGAGAACUGCUACUUUCA